rnacentral:rRNA from 1 species
UACAGAGGUCCCAAGCGUUGUUCGGAUUCACUGGGCGUAAAGGGUGCGUAGGCGGUUGGAUAAGUCUGAUGUGAAAUCUUCGAGCUCAACUCGGAAACUGCAUCGGAAACUAUCCAGCUUGAGGAUUGGAGGGGAGACUGGAAUUCUCGGUGUAGCAGUGAAAUGCGUAGAUAUCGAGAGGAACACCAGUGGCGAAGGCGAGUCUCUGGACAAUUCCUGACGCUGAGGCACGAAAGCUAGGGGAGCAAACAGG